UUCGGUUGGAGUGCACAGAAAAGUAAAGGGUUAAAAUCUAGAUGAGAGAUCCUCAUAUAGAAAAAUAGAGCUUCAAAUUUGAGAGCUCGGUUGGGGUUGCCCUAACAUCCCUCCUCCUUCGGAACCAGCUUGACCCCAACCUGGAGUGUGAGGAAAUUGUUGACGGAGAGCUUCUUCAUCUUCCCAUGUCGACAGUUCCACAGGCCAUUGCGACCUGUGGAUGAGCACAGAGAUGAUGGUACUAUCGUGCCGUUGUAUAAGGCAACGAUCGAGUACCAUUUGAGGAACCUGCAGGUGAUGAGUGGGAUCAGGAAACUCAGGACUUACCAGAGUAUGAGGUUGCACUGCCUUCUUCUCUAUCUCUGCUCCUAAAAAUUCCCUAAGCGGGGUGCGAUCUUCCCCGUGCGCCCGCCGCCAUCGUCGCCGUUGUCCCCGUAUCUCCUCCCGACUCCCUCAAAUCUCUCCCCCAAAUCAGACCCUCACCGGCCUGUGUGCGCCGCCGCCGCCGCCGCCGCCGCUGCCUCCUCGAUGACUCUCGCGCCCGUCCGAUUGGUGCCUUCCGUCGUGCGUCUCGCGGUGCGAUCUCCCACCCAUCGGUCUUCGUUCAGCCUCUGAAACCCGUCCGUCCGAUCGGUGCCGUCCCGCCGCUCGCUCCCUCUCCCCGUCCGAUCUUUGGUUCCGUCGCUUGCUCCCUCCUCCCCGUCCAAUCCCCUCCCUCUCCAACACCGCUCGCCCGCGCCAGCAGCCGCGGCCGCCCUCGCCCGCGCCGUCAGUCACCGCGCGCUCCGCCCUGCACGGUUGCACCGCUCUCUCCCUCAGCCCCGAAACCUAGGUCGUCUUCUCCAUCUCCGUCUUGGGUCGCCGGAGGCCGCCGGGGUCCGGAUCCACCCUCUCCCUCGCGGGAUCUACGCCUCCCUUGGCCGGAUCUGCCUCGACGUAGUGUUCCUUCAUCUGGGCGGCAAUCGCUCACGAGGAGGCGCUGGCCGGCCGCGCGGCAGGCCGGUGUUACCUCUGUGCCGCGCUCGCGUGCGCGGAGGCGCUGGCCGGCUGGACGUGGCCCCGGUGCCCGGAACCUGCCCAGGGGCGCCUCUCUGCCAGCCUCCUCUACGGGCGUCGUGCACGUGGAGGCCACGGCCGGCCUCUCAACCUCAUCGGCUCCGCCAUCUUCCUUGCCGGGACCCUCAGCCUCGAGGAGGAGAACAAGGUGCACAUGAUAUGAUCCGGUUGUCGCCGGAGGAGAGCAUGCUGGUGUGCUACGGCCUUCUCUACCACCACAACGAGCUCUGGGACCUCAAAUCAUGCCCUUCGAUCAUAGUGCCUUCUCCACAGUGUACGCCUCUGGUAAAGAAUAGACAAAAUCGAUUUUUCUGCCCAUUAUCAUUCCAAUUUCUUUAGCACGUUAGACAGUGCGAAAGUAUUUGCUCUUAUUUGGGCCACUGAUGAUACUAUUGUUCCUAUAGCAUAAAUUUCUAUUUCAGAUACGAUUAAGAGCUUGAGAAUGUUCUGCGGUACACAAUCCACUAUGGGAAAAAAAAUUCUAUUUCAGAUAAAAUUGUGUUCUGCAUUUGUUCCGGUGCUUCCUAUUCAGAGUUGGACCAUUUGCAUUGUCUGCUGUGUUUCGUACCUUGCUUGCACUUCUGAGAAAAAAAAUGUUUCAUGCCUGCUUAUUCAGUCCAAGCAGCUUUUUACUGAAUAUUUGUUGUUGUGGUAAGUUUCCAUUUCAUUAGCGAAGGUUAAUUGUUCAGCACCACUGUAUUCGUAAACAGUGCUUACAAUGUAGAAUGAGUCAUGCCUAUGUACCCAUCAAAAGUGUGAUUUACACGUAAAUGGUCAAGGCAUGUAAAUGAGUCAUGCCUAUGUAGAAUGAUUUACAUGUAAAUUGUCUCGAACAAAUGUAUAUUGAUGCUUGGUAAAGUGCAUGGGGGAGCCCUAAGGGUACUCUUGGUUCCUAUCAAUUUCACAGGUCAUGGCUAAUAAUUGAGCAAUUGAAGGCAAUGGUUUGUGGUAACUAUGCGAGCAGACAAAAGUAGACCAACUCCCCAUAAAGAUCAUGUGUCAUUUCUUGCAUUGACCACGUGAAAAAUUUCAGUGUAUUGUACCAUGAUCAACACCAGGCCCUGAGGAGCCUUUAAUUUCUGAACCAGUAUCAAUUCUAAAUAUAGUUUAUGAUUUAAUUUAGUGUAUUC